rnacentral:tRNA from 1 species
CAGAAUAUAGCUAAAUAAAUAGCAUUUCCCUUACACUGAAGAGUUAUCCGUGCAAUUCGGAUUAUUCUGACACCCAAC